rnacentral:misc_RNA from 1 species
UGUGGGAGCUGGCUUGCCAGCGAUUGCGGUGGUUCAGUCACCCUCUCUUUUUACUGAUGCGACGCCAUCGCUGGCAAGCCAGCUCCCACA